UACAGAGGUCCCGAGCGUUGUUCGGAUUUAUUGGGCGUAAAGGGUGCGUAGGCGGCGGAGUAAGUUGGGUGUGAAAUCCCGGGGCUCAACCUCGGAAUGGCAUUCAAUACUGCCUUGCUAGAGAGCUGUAGAGGAGACUGGAAUUUACGGUGUAGCAGUGAAAUGCGUAGAUAUCGUAAGGAACGCCAGUGGCGAAAGCGAGUCUCUGGGCAGCAUCUGACGCUGAGGCACGAAGGCCAGGGGAGCAAACGGG
rnacentral:rRNA from 1 species